CAAACGCAAGUUGAAUUAAUUGCAUCGUGUGAUAGCAGUAGCACAUUCACGUAAUGUGCCACCAUCUUUGCAAUGCAAAGCACUUCUGCUACGGAUAGGCGAAAGAUCGCAAUGUAUGUAAGUCCUUCCUCAUCAUGUGAACAAUAGUUAAUUUAAUCUACAGUCAGUUUUUCAAGACAGUACCUACCACCGAGGAUGGGCCAAUUGAUCUGCUUCACUAUGUUCACGAACUCUGUGAUGUUGUUGAUCUCUGGAAUUCAAUUGAAAUACCUUUCAUGAUUUAUUGCUUUCAAUGCCGUCAAUAUCUUCAAUUCAAUUCUGCCUCUUGUUACCAACGAAGAAGGAGACAAGUUCGGAAAAUUUGCUGGCGAUGGUAUUUGGCUGGACGAAGAAAAAACGUCGCCUUUUUCUCUUUAUCAGUUUUUUUGAAAAUGCCAGAUUCUGAAGUCGAGAAUCUUCUCAAGUUGUUCAAGUUUUAUCCCACUGGAAGAAAUUGCAUUUCUCAUGGAACAACACAAAAAAUCACCAGAGAAGAGAAAAGCACAAACGAUUCUAGCUUAAGAUGUGACGCUUCUAGUCCAUUGAGAGGAGGGUCUAAAACAAGCCGAAAAAGUCACAAAAGCGCUCAACAAGGCAAAUUUUAAAGGACUAGGUGAAUUACAACUAAAUCCUAUCGUUAAGAUUUUUCCAGAGCCUAGACUAUCCAUUCUUGAUCUGGCACUAAAAGCUUAAUGUUUAACAAAAGAAACUCAUACGAUGAGAAUCAUCACAGCUGUAGGGUUCUAUAUCAAGCAAUAGCGAACUCAAAACUUCGCACUAACAUCACACUAACUCAUCACCACAAAUAUCACAUACCAUUUCUAUCUAUUAGUUCAAAAUGUUAAAUGUCUCCUUUUUGUUGGCAAGGAUGAGCAUAUGAAUAAAAACAAUUUGUUUAGCUUAUAUCCAUAUUCAAUUUUACAUUAAUUAAAAGUCAUUAAUAAUAAUAUUGUAUUCUUUUUUGUGAUAAAAAUAAACAAUUUGAAUCAUUAAACAUGUAGACUCCCUGGUUUGUUAAUCAUGUUUAUAUAUUUUUUUAAAUACAA